AUGGCCAAUGCUUUUUACUCCCUCUACUCCCACGUGUCCCGCACCCCUCUCCAAAAACUGGCCCCACCAGAGUUCACCCUCACGUCGGACAUGGAGAGGAUCGAGCGCUUCAGGAGCAGUGUUCGCAGUGAGCCGCGUUCUCCGGUGGAGAGGCUGAAGGACACCGUCUCCAAGAUGUGCCUCUACACAGGCUCGCCUCGAGGGUCAGACUCCACCUCCCCGCAGCCGUCACCCAGGAAAAGGUCGAGCCUCCCUGAUAUUGUGGAUUCAGUCCUGGUGAAAGUCAAGACUGGGGCUGUCAAGAAACUGGAUUUGGAGGAAUGUAAUGGGAGCAGUUCAGCUGUGGAUGUUAGUCUGGUCACAGAUGAUUAUAGAGCCUGUAACAGUGGAGAAGAUGAGCAAACACAGGAGACUGUUGUGGCCACAGACAUUCAUCAGCAUGGAAAUAAAAUCUGUUGUCAGGAGAUGCAAAGCAGAAAACAAAGAGAUGAUGUUGAUGCUGAUGAAAACAGCGUGCAACCAUCAGACGAUGACAGAAGGACUCACGAUAUGAAAACAUCUCUGGCCUCGUCGUUAUCAGGGGAAACUGUGAUAGAAGCAGAUCAGCGGUUUUCUUCGCGUCAGGCAGAGCAGGACUCAUGUUCGACUCCAAGUCACACAAGGACAGAUGAGACAAAGCCCGUUGCCACGGUUACAUAUGAUCUAAUCUGCCCGCAGUUAGUCAACAGUGAACAUCAGACACCUCUCUGCUGUCAACACACGCACAGUCCGGAAACACAUACUGGGACACAGAGCACAGAUAAGCAACGUCCUGCAUCACAUGAACCCCCAGCACAAGCCUCUGUCUCUGGGCCUGGUGAGGACUCAUACACAGGUGACAUUACCUCUUCAGGACGGGCCGGACUGGUGGAUCCAUCCGGAUCACUUCCUGUCCUGGCCCCCAACGGCAGCUGUACCGAUUGCUGCAUCACUGUGACCGGCUCGGAGGGGGGCGAUCCCUCCGCCGGUUCCUUGAACACACCAGAUUCCAGUCAUGCUUCAACUGUCCCGCCUGUCCAGACACGCGGGGACUCAUCAAACGAGGGGAAAACCUGGUACCUGAAUCCCCCGACUCGCCAGGGCCUGGGGCACUUCUGCAAUAACGUGGGACAGGUUAACUCCUUUGAGCUGGAGGAGGUGCACAGUGCAGGGGAGGAAGAUUUUGGACAGUCAGACACUGCGAGGACAACAACCUCACCGUUGUCCACAGAACAUCAACACAAAGGUACGGAAUAUUUAUGCUUUCUGACAUUUUUUUUGCAUGAACCCAGGAAAUUAUAG
rnacentral:lncRNA from 1 species